GAAAUGCGAUAAGUAGUGUGAAUUGCAGAAUUCAGUGAAUCAUCGAAUCUUUGAACGCACAUUGCGCCCCUUGGUAUUCCAUGGGGCAUGCCUGUUCGAGCGUCAAUUGUACCUUCAAGCUUUGCUUGGUGUUGGGUGUUUGUCUCGCCUCUGCGUGUAGACUCGCCUCAAAACAAUUGGCAGCCGGCGUAUUGAUUUCGGAGCGCAGUACAUCUCGCGCUUUGCACUCAUAACGACGACGUCCAAAAGUACAUUUUUACACUCUUGACCUCGGAUCAGGUAGGGAUACCCGCUGAACUUAAGC
rnacentral:misc_RNA from 1 species